rnacentral:pre_miRNA from 1 species
AUCGUACUUCCUUCGUUCUGAAUUACUUGUCGCAGGUAUAGAUGUAUCUAGAUGUAUUUUAGUUUUAGAUACAUUCAUUUUUGUGACAAGUAAUUUGGAACAGGGGAAGUAUCUC